rnacentral:rRNA from 1 species
UACGGAGGGUGCAAGCGUUGUUCGGAAUCACUGGGCGUAAAGCGCGUGUAGGCGGCUUCAUAAGUCUGGUGUGAAAUCCCGGGGCUCAACCCCGGAACUGCGCUGGAAACUGCGAGGCUAGAGUACCGGAGAGGAGAGUGGAAUUCCUGGUGUAGCGGUGAAAUGCGUAGAUAUCAGGAGGAACACCGGUGGCGAAGGCGGCUCUCUGGACGGCUACUGACGCUGAGACGCGAAAGCGUGGGGAGCAAACAGG